CAGCAGCCGCGGUAAUACCGGCGGCCCGAGUGGCGGUCACUAUUAUUGGGCUUAAAGCGUCCGUAGCCGGGUUGGGAAGUCCUCCGGGAAAUCUGGCCGCUUAACGGUCAGAAUGCCGGAGGAUACUCCCAGCCUAGGGAGCGGGAGAGGCCGAGGGGAUUCCCGGGGUAGGGGGGAAAUCCUAUAAUCCCGGGAGGACCACCUGUGGCGAAGGCGCUCGGCUGGAACGCGGCCGACGGUGAGGGACGAAGGCCAGGGGAGCAAACCGGAUUAGAUACCCGGGUAGUCCUGGCUGUAAACGAUGCGGACUUUGUGUCGGACAAGCUAUGAGCUUGUCCGGUGCCGGAGGGAAACCGUUAAGUCCGCCGCCUGGGGAGUACGGCCGCAAGGCUGAAACUUAAAGGAAUUGGCGGG
rnacentral:rRNA from 1 species